rnacentral:lncRNA from 1 species
AUAGUGUUGCCAUCAGGGCCAGGGAGGUGAUUAUUCCCCUCUACUCUGCUCUGGUGAGGCUGCACCUUGAGGACUGUGUUCAGCUAUGGAUCCCUCAGUACAAGAAGGAUGUGGAGGCCCUGCAGUGUAUCCAGAGAAGGGCUAGCAAGCUGGUAAAGGGCCUGGAACACAAGUGCUAUGAGGAGCUGGGAUUGUUCAGUCUGGAGAAGAGGAGACUCAUUAUUGCUCUCUGCAACUACCUGAAAGGAAGGUGUGGGAAGAUGACGGUUGGCCUCUUCUUACAGACUCCUUUCCCAGAUGCAUCAAUGUCAGGUCUGUUCAACAGGAGGUGUAUACAAGAGACAUGAGAAGUUAUAAAUUUGCCAUGCCAUCUCUGCAACUUGCUUUGGGAUAAGACAGUAGGUUCCCUAUGCUCUCCAAGCUUAACAGUCUUCCUAGCUGCUGCCAAGAAAAUGGAACUGCAACCUCAGCCAAAGGAGACAGGUCCUAAGGCAGCAAGCCUCUGGGACAAAGCUCUGUUAAUA